rnacentral:rRNA from 1 species
ACUCCUACGGGAGGCAGCAGUGGGGAAUCUUAGACAAUGGGGGAAACCCUGAUCUAGCCAUGCCGCGUGAUCGAUGAAGGCCUUAGGGUUGUAAAGAUCUUUCAGUGGGGAAGAUAAUGACUGUACCCACAGAAGAAGCCCCGGCUAACUCCGUGCCAGCAGCCGCGGUAAU